rnacentral:rRNA from 1 species
CCGCACGGGUGAGUAACACGUAUGCAAUCCACCUGUAACAGGGGGAUAACCCGGAGAAAUCCGAACUAAUACCCCAUAAUAUGGGCGCUCCGCAUGGAGAGCCCAUUAAAGAGAGCAAUUUUGGUUACAGACGAGCAUGCGCUCCAUUAGCCAGUUGGCGGGGUAACGGCCCACCAAAGCGACGAUGGAUAGGGGUUCUGAGAGGAAGGUCCCCCACAUUGGAACUGAGACACGGUCCAA